rnacentral:rRNA from 1 species
AAGAACGACGCUGGCGGCAUGCCUAACACAUGCAAGUCGAACGAGACCUUCGGGUCUAGUGGCGCACGGGUGCGUAACGCGUGGGAAUCUGCCCUUGGGUUCGGAAUAACAGUUAGAAAUGACUGCUAAUACCGGAUAAUGUCUUCGGACCAAAGAUUUAUCGCCCAGGGAUGAGCCCGCGUAGGAUUAGCUAGUUGGUGAGGUAAAGGCUCACCAAGGCGACGAUCCUUAGCUGGUCUGAGAGGAUGAUCAGCCACACUGGGACUGAGACACGGCCCAGACUCCUACGGGAGGCAGCAGUGGGGAAUAUUGGACAAUGGGCGAAAGCCUGAUCCAGCAAUGCCGCGUGAGUGAUGAAGGCCUUAGGGUUGUAAAGCUCUUUUACCCGGGAUGAUAAUGACAGUACCGGGAGAAUAAGCCCCGGCUAACUCCGUG